rnacentral:rRNA from 1 species
UACGUAGGGUGCGAGCGUUGUCCGGAAUUAUUGGGCGUAAAGAGCUCGUAGGCGGCCUGUCGCGUCGGAUGUGAAAACCCGGGGCUCAACCUCGGGCCUGCAUUCGAUACGGGCAGGCUGGAGUUCGGCAGGGGAGACUGGAAUUCCUGGUGUAGCGGUGAAAUGCGCAGAUAUCAGGAGGAACACCGGUGGCGAAGGCGGGUCUCUGGGCCGAUACUGACGCUGAGGAGCGAAAGCGUGGGGAGCGAACAGG